AAGUCUUUGAUUCCCCGCUGCCAAGAAAAGCUUCUAGCGAGAUAAAAGGUGCCUGUACCGCAAACCGACACAGGUAGGCGAGGAGAGAAUCCUAAGGUGUGCGAGAGAACUCUGGUUAAGGAACUCGGCAAAAUGACCCCGUAACUUCGGGAGAAGGGGUGCUUUCUUAACGGAAAGCCGCAGUGAAUAGGCCCAAGCGACUGUUUAGCAAAAACACAGCUCUCUGCGAAGCCGUAAGGCGAAGUAUAGGGGGUGACACCUGCCCGGUGCUGGAAGGUUAAGGAGAGGGGUUAGCGUAAGCGAAGCUCUGAACUGAAGCCCCAGUAAACGGCGGCCGUAACUAUAACGGUCCUAAGGUAGCGAAAUUCCUUGUCGGGUAAGUUCCGACCCGCACGAAAGGUGUAACGAUUUGGGCACUGUCUCAACCAGAGACUCGGUGAAAUUAUAGUACCUGUGAAGAUGCAGGUUACCCGCGACAGGACGGAAAGACCCCGUGGAGCUUUACUGUAGCCUGAUAUUGAAUUUUGGUACAGUUUGUACAGGAUAGGCGGGAGCCUUUGAAACCGGAGCGCUAGCUUCGGUGGAGGCGCUGGUGGGAUACCGCCCUGACUGUAUUGAAAUUCUAACCUACGGGUCUUAUCGACCCGGGAGACAGUGUCAGGUGGGCAGUUUGACUGGGGCGGUCGCCUCCUAAAGUGUAACGGAGGCGCCCAAAGGUUCCCUCAGAAUGGUUGGAAAUCAUUCGUAGAGUGCAAAGGCAUAAGGGAGCUUGACUGCGAGACCUACAAGUCGAGCAGGGACGAAAGUCGGGCUUAGUGAUCCGGUGGUUCCGCAUGGAAGGGCCAUCGCUCAACGGAUAAAAGCUACCCCGGGGAUAACAGGCUUAUCUCCCCCAAGAGUCCACAUCGACGGGGAGGUUUGGCACCUCGAUGUCGGCUCAUCGCAUCCUGGGGCUGUAGUCGGUCCCAAGGGUUGGGCUGUUCGCCCAUUAAAGCGGUACGCGAGCUGGGUUCAGAACGUCGUGAGACAGUUCGGUCCCUAUCCGUCGUGGGCGUAGGAAAUUUGAGAGGAGCUGUCCUUAGUACGAGAGGACCGGGAUGGACGCACCGCUGGUGUACCAGUUGUUCUGCCAAGGGCAUAGCUGGGUAGCUAUGUGCGGAAGGGAUAAGUGCUGAAAGCAUCUAAGCAUGAAGCCCCCCUCAAGAUGAGAUUUCCCAUAGCGUAAGCUAGUAAGAUCCCUGAAAGAUGAUCAGGUUGAUAGGUUCGAGGUGGAAGCAUGGUGACAUGUGGAGCUGACGAAUACUAAUAGAUCGAGGACUUAACCAUAUAA
rnacentral:rRNA from 1 species